AUACGGAGGAUCCGAGCGUUAUCCGGAUUUAUUGGGUUUAAAGGGAGCGUAGAUGGAUGUUUAAGUCAGUUGUGAAAGUUUGCGGCUCAACCGUAAAAUUGCAGUUGAUACUGGAUAUCUUGAGUGCAGUUGAGGCAGGCGGAAUUCGUGGUGUAGCGGUGAAAUGCUUAGAUAUCACGAAGAACUCCGAUCGCGAAGGCAGCCUGCGAAGCGGCAACUGACAUUGAGGCUCGAAAGUGUGGGUAUCAAACAGGAUUAGAUACCCUGGUAGUCCACACGGUAAACGAUGAAUACUCGCUGUUUGCGAUAUACGGCAAGCGGCCAAGCGAAAGCGUUAAGUAUUCCACCUGGGGAGUACGCCGGCAACGGUGAAACUCAAAGGAAUUGACGGGG
rnacentral:rRNA from 1 species